GCGUUUUUGGGUCGAUAGCCGAGGUGGUACUAUGUUUUUCUUGAUCCAAUAGGUCGGUGAAUAUCCCGAACGAAAGAGUCCUGAUUUGGCUCCAGCAGGGGGGCGGGCGCCCAGGCUACCAGGGCGGGCGCCCUGGGCCUGGCCCAGUUUCGCCUCCGCUUCGGUCUCGUGGCUUCUGGAGUCUUCUAGAUGAUGUAAAAUUGCGCGGUGCGUUGAUAUCUCUAUGUAAUCCCAACAUGUGGGCCUUUCUUCCUUAUUUCCUAAUAACCCCCUGCAGAAACAGAUAAACAACAAAACUCGUGGAAUUCUGUCAGAUCAAACCCUAAUUCUAGGUGUUGGUUGCAUAUUGGUCCUUUCUCUUGUUUCUUUGAUAAUUAAAAUUGAUACUUAAGAACCGUCAACAAAUACCCCCAUACUUAGGCUUUUACUCGUCCUCGAGAAAAGGAUGGUUAAGAAAAAUAUCUGGGGUAAAACAUUUAAAACAUUCUCUUUGUAUAAUUGCAUGGUGUUAAAAUUUCACUGUGUACCAUAGUCAAGGAUGUUUAUGGUUAAGAGUAAAGAUCCUUUCUUCUCAAUCCUGUCACUUGGAGUUUUUGUAUAUUUUUGAAAGAAAAUUAGCAUACCUUUUUAUCCUCAUAGGUUCUCUCAGAUCACUCAUUAUCUUUUAUAUAUAUAUAUCUCACUGAGGUUGUUUUAAUUUUGCAAAAAUUCUCAAGCAUACUUAUUUUGCAUUUAUUGCCUGAUCAAAACGGGAUCCGAGGAGGGGAAUGUCAUACUCUUAGAUCAAAGACUUUGGAAAUUAAAAUCUUUGUCAACUCUUGCUGGCAUAUUGCUUAUUAGAGGAACCAUGGGCUAUCAUUUUUUUCUUCCUUUUUUUUUAAGUGGAUACCGAGGUACCUCUAAUUCUACUGCCGGACACUUGUCCAUUUUUUCUGCGAGGUUGUCGAGCACUUGCUCCUUUUUAUUUCCUCGAAAUAUUUCUAUUUUUGCAUAGCCCAUGCCUCUAAUGCAAUAAUACUUCGGAAGAGUGAAUCUUACUGAAAUAAUGUCUUGAUCUUAGGAGCAUGAUAAAUCUCUCAAUAAGGGUCUAACUCAUUUUGAACAAACUCAAUACAGAGUAGAUAGCUUUAUAAUCAUCAUUAAUAUUUUUAUUUUUAUCAGGCAUAUAAAACACUGAGGAUGGUAGCUAGAAUUUUGAACAUUUUGAAAUAAAUUCUCCAAGCAACAAUGAUAUCAAGAAUAAGAAACUCAUACUCUACCAUCACAUAUUCCAUAUUGACUUGAGUAACAUAGGGUUUUAAAAUGAUUUUAUAAUAAUUGCAAGUUUUCAGGAAAUAUCACAGAUUGAGAUUAAUCAUGAUUAGAAAUAUUUUAAUAUUUUUAUUUUAUCAUGUCGGAAACAGUAAUCUGCAUAAUCCAAAAUAAAUGUAUGUAUGAAGUAAAGUGUGCAGAGUGUGUACCUGAAUCGUGGAGUGGUGUAGUCGGAGUGUGUUUGGCAUGUUAAGGGAUCUUCCCCAUACUUGUUUUCUGCUUUCUUGCACAAAAAUAAAGUAGAGACACACAAGACAUAAUAAUAAUAGUAAUACUCUUUAUUGAUCUUGAGGCAUUUAGUACAAAAGACUGAUAACAAACUGAUAGCAAACUGAUAAUAAUAGUAAACUGAUGAUAAUAGUAAACCUAAACCGAAUUUAAAGAUAAAUGACUAAGAUGCAUUGCCUCAAGGUCUAAUCUAGAUAACUUAACGGCGCUCUAAUUCCUUGAUCUUCUUGUUGGCACUGGCAAGAUCCUGCCUAAGGCCUAAUAUAACGGUGUUGUGGUUAGAGAGCUGCCUAGUGAGGGAAUUAAUCGA
rnacentral:lncRNA from 1 species